AAUAUUUUACAGGGGAACUCAUACGAGUUGAGAAGGUAAAAACCUGACCCUUUGAACCUGAGAGUUAAUACUCGCGUAGGGAGUAAAAGUAUACAGUUU
rnacentral:ncRNA from 2 species